CCUCCCAGAGGCACCAGCCCCUGGUUCACUCUCGGCUGCAGCUGCAGGUCCUCCCAGCAGCCCAGCUUCCUUGGGCGGGYGGGCGCGCUUCCAGCUGACCUCCCUCACCCUGCAUCCAUCCUGCCUGGAACCAGUCUUCACACCUUUUGGGAGAGCUUGUUUAGACCCCAGGCAACCCAGCUCUGCUACUUCCGUGCUGUGGAUGGCAGGUCACCUCUCCAGGCCUGUUUUCCCUUCUGUCAGGUCAGAAUGACACCCCUGUUCACAGAACUAUCUUCAGGCUGAGGGUGCAGGGUGACCCGGGGCAGGCACUGGAAUGGCAGCCCCGCCAUUUGACUGAAGCCACUGCUUGGGCUCCCAAUUCCAGGAUGGCAGACUUGAUGACAGGAUCUGGGACAUUACAAGAGGAAAGUAAAGUAAGAGAAAGAUCCAGGAAACUUUUAUUUUUUAAAUUUUUAUUAACCUAAUGUUACUCAGGUCAACUGGAAAGAGAACACAGGCAUAUCGUCCUUCAUGCCUACCGGAGCUGGCACUGUCCUCUGGAAGCACCGUUUUCUAUCUGAUUUCUAAGGACAGAAACAAUUCCCAUUUUACAGAGGAUCCUGCUUCCAAAACCAGCCUCCAGCCCCAAAUGCAAAUUAAAUUUCACUUGAUUUACAACUUGCAGCUCUUGGGUCUGCUUUCACCAUAUGCUUGGAUUUGCUAAAAAACAACAAAAUGAAAUGCUGCAAUGAAUAGUUGCCAGAACGGGCUGCUGGAAAGUGAGAAGCCUGUGCACUGCCCUCACAGAAGAGAGUGUGGCUGGGAGGUGGAGGCUGAAGCCCCGGGAGCACCAGGCCUGCCUGGAAAAGAGAAGGUGGAGAAGGCGCUAAACCAGGACGUUUGUGCUUUGAAGGUAAUUAAGGACAAGUAGCUCUUCAGAUCACUCCAAGACCACGUUUUCCCACCUGUCAGGUCAACAAAAUGCCAGGACCUGAGAAAACAACCUGCACGGAUGCCCACUCCUCUCCACCUGCCUCUCUCCAGCCCCUCCACAAACACGUGAAAAUAAGACACCAAAACACCAACUGGAGACACCAAAUGGCUGUGGCUCCAAGGGUGGGGAGGCAAACAGGAUUCUCUUUAGGGAGGUUCUGAGGGCUCUGUGCCAAGCCCUGCUCACAACAGACCUUGGUUCAUGAAAGAUGGCAGAGGGUAACAGACAGCUCAGCUCAAUGGCAAAGUCCAAUAUUGGCUGCAAGGUGCCAGGCACUGGGCGUUUGCAUCCUGGACAUAUUUUCUUUCUUUAAAUCCAGAUGGAGCGCAAGGAUUCUUAUUUUCCUAGUUGAAGAAACCAAAGCUUUAGAAGUUAAUUUGGCCAAGGUCAAAGUGCCUCUGGAGUCCGAGCUCUCAGCCGCUGGGGCACCGGGCUGCAGGGAUGAGCAGAGGCUGUCAGCUACCAAAGACCGCACGCCAGGCUUUCGACUCAGAGGCCAAGUGCAACUGAAUUUCCUAAACAUUAGACUACAAAAUCCAAACAAGGACAGCCCUCCCCCUCCCAAUGGGACCUGAAUGCCACACAGUGAGAGGGAGCACAAGCUGCAAGGUGUUGAGAGGAAUAGGCAUGUGGAAGGGACCCCCCAGCAGUGGAGGUGCGCCAAAGGGAAAGGGUCACAGUGCCCUUUGGCUGGAGACUGACCAGGCCUUGUCCUCCCCCACCACAGGCCCAACAAAAGGAAAAGAAAAGCGUUCAAAGCGGCUUCAGUCUGCCAAACACUGAGUCAUCCGCAGUGCGGGGCGGAGGGCUCUCUGGAGCAAGAACAGGCAAGCUCUGCCCAUGGAGCCACUUGUGCUGUGGCCACAGGGAGGUGAGGCCAAAGCAGGGAUGCCUGACUCCAAUGUGGGCGCCAGCUGGGGCCUCCGCCCCUCAUAAAACACCCUGAGCUGUCCCCCCUGGCCGACAGGCCACAGGGCACAGGAGCACAGACUCGGUGCGCCAGCUCUCCACCCGCGCUCUGAGCCUGGCUGCGAGAAGACAGGGGCCAAAAGUUCCUUCUUCGUUGCUGACCAGAUUUGGCAGCAGCCCUGGGAAGUCCCCUUCCUCACAGAGCCAUCUCUUCAAUUUUUUGCUGACAAGAGGUUAGCAGGAUUUCAUCGGAGAUCUGCCCCAGUACACACACUCAGGAAUGGAAGUUCAUGGGGAAUUUGUGUCCCCACACCUGAAGGAGGAAUGGCACAAGCACUGAAGGGGAUGCCCAGGCUCAGCACAGGUCGCCCUGUGAGAACUCGUCCUCUGCCUGACUAAUGGGGGAGGGGGGUCAAAGCCUCCUCUGUACAGCUGCCUGGGUGCCCUCAACCCUGCCACCAAGCCACUCCAGGACACAGCUCUAUGUGCAUGCACCCAUGUACCAAGAAUUGUUUCAACUUGAAAGAGCCCCAGAAUCAAAGCUAGCUAGAAGAUAAAGAAUUAUUUCAAGGUCUAAAAUACCUUGAUAGAGCUGCAAUGACAAUAUUUAUUUUUCCCAAUGACAGACACCAAGAAGAUUCUGGAUGUAGGCACCCCUGGUACCUGUGUGGGUUGCUUAUUGUGCCAUCAUAUUCAAAAUUUGGCAUUUUCACUAACUACUCUGAAUUAACCUGAAAUAAAUCACAUUGGUAAUCUCCAAUCUUUAAAAAAAUUGCCUUAGAAGGCAAAUUAGACUGAACAAAAUGAUCUUUAUSGAAGUCCUGGUGUGUCACCAAAGGAGAUGACUUCAGUAUAGAACAACCUGGCCAAGUUGUCUGGCAUGUCUAGACAGUGCACAGGUCCAGGCAGAAAAGCAAAGUUUGAAUGAAAUUUCUUACGUGAAACCAAUUUGCCAAAUGAUUUUGUGCUCAAACCUCAAUCAGUAACCAAGCUUCAUUUCCUUCCUUCCCUGCAUUAGAAAAUGAGAUGAGAAAUAAAUAUCCAGCCAGCUUUCCUCCCAUGAGAACCGUGCCAGACACGCAAGAACUCAGGCUCCUGUAAGUGAAGUGCCACCUGGAGCCAGUCUUCAUGGGACAGCCGUGGAGCCCAACCAGCCAUGCCUUGGCACCUCCCAGAGCAGUGCCCAGCAAAAUGUCARCCACCAGCUUCAGCAGGAGCUUCUUGGACAGAGGGGACAUUUGAAAGGCUGGAUCCAUACAAAUAAAAAUUGUUGAAGACACAUGUCCUGCUGUACCCCCAAGGAAUGGCGAUGCCUAUAAAGUGCUAAGACUUAGUCAACGUCUUAAGAUCAUAGGAACGUGGACCUGGAGGGACAGCAAGUGUCAGGUCCUGUAAGUUCCUGCCACAGCAAUGAACAGUGAGAAGAAUAAGUAAACCAAAUAAUUAAAAGCAAAGGAAAAAAAUCUAGAGGGCAAGAUGUUUCAACAUGCAACUGUGCUCUGCUCAGUUUUCUAGACAAACAAAGCUCAUUCUCCUCUCCACCGGCAGCCCCCUGUGACGGGUUUCUUGGGUGUCUAGGUUUUAUUUGAACAGCACUGAUCAAGGCAUCUCUUUUCUGGUGUUGGUCUACUGCUUUUUAUUUCACAACCUCAUUCAGUUAAAUAUCACCACAAAGUUGAGAAUGAGAACCAGCCAGAAUUCACCAGAAUGAGAACCAGCCUGAACUGCCUUGGGAGAUGAGGAUCUAAGUGACAGAGUCUCCGGACACACCAGAAGAUAAGAAGCAGUGAAGAAUAACAGAGCAUAGGAAAAACACUGAAAACACAGGCUUGACUCUCCAUCCCUCCUUAGUCACCAGAGCUCAGCAGAAUCACUGUGUCCAGUGCCUCAGGAAACUCCGGGAGCCUAAGUGCUCUGCCAGCUCUAUUAAUAAACAUGGCAGAAAAACAGAACUGCCUGGUGCAAGAGACCUGGGGAGCCUGGGGCACUGAAGGCCUGGGUCAGAUCUGAACAGYGUGUUCUAGAGUGGGCUUUCUUAGGAAGGACAGCUCCCAUCACCCUGCCUGGAGCUACAGCAGAAGAAACCAGGCACCCAGAGGUGCAUCUGUGGUCCUCCACACUGGCUAGGCAUCCCAACCACCCAAGGAGCUUCCCACAGAGCUGAUUGGGCAACUGAUGCCCAACUUCCUGAACCAGGUGUAUAAGGCCAAGCUCUGUACUCUGAAGAGUCUGUGCAGCUGAGCUUUGAUGGCACUCCCAGGUGGGAGCCCUGACCAUGGCUGCCCAGUGAGACUGAUGCUGGUGGCCUGGGGUUACAGUGGAUCUUGACUGGAGUGGACACAGACUCUGGAUUGGGCUUUGCUUACCCAGUGGUGGAUGCACAUACUCAAUGCAAUAAUGAGCCAGAAGAGGAGACAGUUCAUGGAUCUGGAGGCCGACCAUCAUUUCUUCAGAGAAAGGAUGCACUGUGCAGCCUGUGAUGCCCAACAUGGGCAGAGAGCCUCCUCAGAGUAACACGAGGAGAAGCAGGGCAGGCGAUGGAAACACUGGUUAGCUAAAACAGGGAGACAGCAGAGGGCUGGCUCACACACCUUCCUGAGCAUGCACACACUUGGUGUGGYGGGGACUGAGGGAGUGUCCCCACCAGACUUUCUUGUAGGAUGCUGUGUGACUGCAAGUCUUGCCCAGGGAGGAGCAUGCUGGUUUAUGAUCAUAACUUUUCUUUCUUCCCCUCAUUACUUCAGUCCCCACCACCUGGGGCAGUCACAGGGCAAGGGCUGGUUCCCACACAUGAAACCUGGCUACAUUUUUAAACCUAUGUCAGAAUUCCUCAGGGUGCUGGCUUGUGCUUUGGCCAUCUGGCAAACCUGGGAUCAACGGUGAGUGCCACAUACUGCCUGGUGGCAAAAACAGCCCACUAGUUCUGUCUCAGGUCACCCUAUCUGAAUGCAAGUGGACCGAGGGAAGACCCCUCUGCUAGAUCACACUGCUGCCUGGAAUCUGAACCAGCAGAGUGGCCCAUCUGGAUGUCCCAAAGGUGGAAACGUUUGAGUACAAAGGAAGAGAAACAGCAACAGUAGCUGAGGGUAAAGUAAGGAAGAAGGGGGCUGGGCAGAGGAACUUCAACAGUCCAUGCCCUGGAAAGCAGCUCCAAGCUAGAGGUGGCUCUGCCCCUUGGCUUAAUUAUAUCAGCUGCCUAAAGGCAUGAGGAUGUGUGUCUGGAAAUGGGGAUGAAGACCAAGGGCAUAUUUCACAACAUCGCAGCACUUGGAUGGACAGAAUGUUUUGUCCUCCUGGAAUUUGUGUAUUAUAGCCCUUGUCCCUAGUGGGAUGGUAUAAGGAGAUGGAGCUUGUGGCAGGUUACUAGGAUUAGAUGAGCUGGGAGGGUGGGGCCCCAUGAAGUGGCUAAUGCCCUUAUAAGAAGGGACACAAGAGCUUUCCUUCCUCCUUGAGGACACAGGGAGGGCAGUGUCUACAAGACAGGAACAUAGCCCUCGCCAGGAACCCAAUCUGCUGGACUUGUAGUCUCCAG